rnacentral:rRNA from 1 species
CGAACGGGUGAGUAAUAUAUCGGAACGUGCCCUAGAGUGGGGGAUAACUAGUCGAAAGAUUAGCUAAUACCGCAUACGAUCUACGGAUGAAAGUGGGGGAUCGCAAGACCUCAUGCUCGUGGAGCGGCCGAUAUCUGAUUAGCUAGUUGGUGAGGUAAAGGCUCACCAAGGCAUCGAUCAGUAGCUGGUCUGAGAGGACGACCAGCCACACUGGGACUGAGACACGGCCCAGACUCCUACGGGAGGCAGCAGUGGGGAAUUUUGGACAAUGGGGGCAACCCUGAUCCAGCAAUGCCGCGUGAGUGAAGAAGGCCUUCGGGUUGUAAAGCUCUUUUGUCAGGGAAGAAACGGUGAGGGCUAAUAUCCUUUGCUAAUGACGGUACCUGAAGAAUAAGCACCGGCUAACUACGUGCCAGCAGCCGCGGUAAUACGUAGGGUGCAAGCGUUAAUCGGAAUUACUGGGCGUAAAGCGUGCGCAGGCGGUUAUGCAAGACAGAUGUGAAUCCCCGGGCUCAACCUGGGAAUUGCAUUUGUGACUGUAUGGCUAGAGUGUGUCAGAGGGGGGUAGAAUUCCACGUGUAGCAGUGAAAUGCGUAGAUAUGUGGAGGAAUACCGAUGGCGAAGGCAGCCCCCUGGGAUAACA